rnacentral:rRNA from 1 species
UACCGGCGAUGUUUCAUUCAAAUUUCUGCCCUAUCAACUUUCGACGGUAGGGUAGUGGCCUACCGUGGUGGUAACGGGUGACGGAGGAUUAGGGUUCGAUUCCGGAGAGGGAGCCUGAGAAACGGCUACCACAUCCAAGGAAGGCAGCAGGCGCGCAAAUUACCCAAAUCCCAAUUCGGGGAGGUAGUGACAAGAAAUAACGAUGCUCCGGCCUCACGGUCGGGUAAUCGGAAUGAGAACAAUUUAAAUCCCUUAUCGAGGAUCAAUUGGAGGGCAAGUCUGGUGCCAGCAGCCGCGGUAAUUCCAGCUCCAAUAGCGUAUAUUUAAGUUGCUGCGGUUAAAAAGCUCGUAGUCGGAUUUCGGGUGGCGCCUACCGGUCCGCCUUUGGUGAGUACUGGUAGGUGCCACCUUUCUGCCGAGGACGGGGUACUGGGCUUAAUUGUCUGGGCCCCGGAGUCGGCGAUGUCACUUUGAGUAAAUUAGGGUGUUCAAAGCAGGCUUAUGCUCUGUAUACACUAGCAUGGGAUGACACGAUAGGACUUCGGUUUAUCUUGUCGGUCUGUAAAUCGGAGUAAUGAUUAAGAGGGACAGUCGGGGGCAUUCGUAUUUCGUAGUCAGAGGUGAAAUUCUUGGAUUUACGGAAGACGAACUUCUGCGAAAGCAUUUGCCAAGGAUGUUUUCAUUGAUCAAGAACGAAAGUCGGGGGCUCGAAGACGAUUAGAUACCGUCGUAGUCUCGACCAUAAACGAUGC